UACGGAGGGGGCUAGCGUUGUUCGGAAUUACUGGGCGUAAAGCGCGCGCAGGCGGAUAUUCGAGUCGGGGGUGAAAUCCCGGGGCUCAACCCCGGAACUGCCUCCGAUACUGGAUGUCUAGAGGACGGGAGAGGCGAGUGGAAUGCCGAGUGUAGAGGUGAAAUUCGUAGAUAUUCGGCGGAACACCCGUGGCGAAGGCGGCUCGCUGGUCCGUUUCUGACGCUGAGGCGCGAAAGCGUGGGGAGCAAACAGGAUUAGAAACCCCCGUAGUCC
rnacentral:rRNA from 1 species